UACGGAGGAUCCGAGCGUUGUCCGGAUUUACUGGGCGUAAAGGGAGCGUAGGCGGACUUUUAAGUGAGAUGUGAAAUAUCCGGGCUCAACUUGGGUGCUGCAUUUCAAACUGGAAGUCUAGAGUGCAGGAGAGGAGAAUGGAAUUCCUAGUGUAGCGGUGAAAUGCGUAGAGAUUAGAAGAACACCAGUGGCGAAGGCGAUUCUCUGGACUGUAACUGACGCUGAGGCUCGAAAGCGUGGGGAGCAAACAGGAUUAGAUA
rnacentral:rRNA from 1 species